rnacentral:rRNA from 1 species
AGACGGAGGGCGCAAGCGUUGUUCGGAAUCACUGGGCAUAAAGAGUACGUAGGCGGUCUGCUAAGUCAGAUGUGAAAGCCCUGGGCUUAACCCGGGAACUGCAUUUGAUACUGGCAGACUUGAGGACAGCAGGGGUGAGUGGAACUUCAGGUAGAACGGUGAAAUGUGUAGAUAUCUGAAGGAACACCGGUGGCGAAAGCGGCUCACUGGGCUGUCUCUGACGCUGAGGUACGAAAGCUAGGGUAGCGAACGGGAUUAGAAACCCUAGUAGUCC